rnacentral:rRNA from 1 species
UACGAAGGGGACUAGCGUUGUUCGGAAUUACUGGGCGUAAAGCGCGCGCAGGCGGCCACUUAAGUCCGCUGGUGAAAGACCGGGGCUCAACCCCGUGUCAGCCAGGGAUACUGGGUGGCUGGAGACAGGUAGAGGCAAGCGGAAUUCCGGGUGUAGCGGUGGAAUGCGUAGAGAUCCGGAAGAACACCGGAGGCGAAGGCGGCUUGCUGGACCUGGUCUGACGCUGAGGCGCGAAAGCGUGGGGAGCGAACAGG